UAUAGGAGCUGACGCCUGCCCGGUGCUGGAAGGUUAAGGGGAUCUGUUAGAGCAAUCGAAGCAGUGAACUUAAGCCCCAGUAAACGGCGGCCGUAACUAUAACGGUCCUAAGGUAGCGAAAUUCCUUGUCGGGUAAGUUCCGACCCGCACGAAAGGCGUAACGAUUUGGGCACUGUCUCAACAACAGACUCGGUGAAAUUGUAAUUCCGGUGAAGAUGCCGGAUACCUGCGACAGGACGGAAAGACCCCAUGGAGCUUUACUGUAGCUUGACAUUGGGUCUUGGUACUACAUGUACAGGAUAGGUGGGAGGCUUUGAAACCAGGACGCCAGUUUUGGCGGAGCCAUCCUUGGGAUACCACCCUUGUAGUACUGGGACUCUAACCAUAGGCCAUGAAUCUGGUCUUGGGACACUGUCAGGUGGGCAGUUUGACUGGGGCGGUCGCCUCCCAAAAGGUAACGGAGGCGCUCAAAGGUUCUCUCAGUACGGUCGGAAAUCGUACGUAGAGUGUAAAGGCAAAAGAGAGCUUGAUUGCAAGACAUACAGGUCGAGCAAGGAUGAAAAUCGGACUUAGUGAUCCGGUGGUUCUGCGUGGAAGGGCCAUCGCUCAACGGAUAAAAGCUACCCUGGGGAUAACAGGCUUAUCUCCCCCAAGAGUCCACAUCGACGGGGAGGUUUGGCACCUCGAUGUCGGCUCAUCACAUCCUGGGGCUGUAGUAGGUCCCAAGGGUUGGGCUGUUCGCCCAUUAAAGUGGUACGCGAGCUGGGUUCAGAACGUCGUGAGACAGUUCGGUCCCUAUCCGUCGCAGGCGUAGGAAAUUUGAGAAGACCUGUCCUUAGUACGAGAGGACCGGGAUGGACGUACCUCUGGUG
rnacentral:rRNA from 1 species